rnacentral:rRNA from 1 species
AGCUUUAUCCUGGCUCAGAUUGAACGCUGGCGGCAGGCCUAACACAUGCAAGUCGAGCGGCAGCACAAGGGAGUUUACUCCUGAGGUGGCGAGCGGCGGACGGGUGAGUAAUGCCUAGGGAUCUGCCCAGUCGAGGGGGAUAACAGUUGGAAACGACUGCUAAUACCGCAUACGCCCUACGGGGGAAAGGAGGGGACCUUCGGGCCUUCCGCGAUUGGAUGAACCUAGGUGGGAUUAGCUAGUUGGUGAGGUAAUGGCUCACCAAGGCGACGAUCCCUAGCUGUUCUGAGAGGAUGAUCAGCCACACUGGGACUGAGACACGGCCCAGACUCCUACGGGAGGCAGCAGUGGGGAAUAUUGCACAAUGGGCGCAAGCCUGAUGCAGCCAUGCCGCGUGUAUGAAGAAGGCCUUCGGGUUGUAAAGUACUUUCAGCGAGGAGGAAGGCGUUAAGGUUAAUAACCUUAGCGAUUGACGUUACUCGCAGAAGAAGCACCGGCUAACUCCGUGCCAGCCGCCGCGGUAAUACAAGCCGAAUUCCACACCACUA